rnacentral:tRNA from 1 species
UUCCUCAGUAGCUCAGUGGUAGAGCUAUCGGCUGUUAACCGAUUGGUCGUAGGUUCAAAUCCUACCUGGGGAGUC